rnacentral:rRNA from 1 species
UACGGGGGGGGCAAGCGUUGUUCGGAAUUACUGGGCGUAAAGGGUUCGUAGGUGGCCCGCUAAGUCAGACGUGAAAUCCCUCAGCUCAACUGGGGAACUGCGUCUGAGACUGGUGGGCUUGAGUGCAGGAGAGGAACGCGGAAUUCCAGGUGUAGCGGUGAAAUGCGCAGAUAUCAGGAAGAACACCCGUGGCGAAAGCGGCUCUCUGGAACGGUACUGACGCUGAGACGCGAAAGCGUGGGGAGCGAACAGG